rnacentral:rRNA from 1 species
UACAGAGGGGGCAAGCGUUAUUCGGAAUUAUUGGGCGUAAAGGGCGCGUAGGCGGCUGUUCAAGUCGGGGGUGAAAGCCUGUGGCUCAACCACAGAAUUGCCUUCGAUACUGGACGGCUGGAGACCGGAAGAGGUCAGUGGAACUGCGAGUGUAGAGGUGAAAUUCGUAGAUAUUCGCAAGAACACCAGUGGCGAAGGCGGCUGACUGGUCCGGUUCUGACGCUGAGGCGCGAAAGCGUGGGGAGCAAACAGG